rnacentral:rRNA from 1 species
GACGAACGCUGGCGGCGUGCUUAACACAUGCAAGUCGAACGGAAAGGCCCUGCUUUUGUGGGGUGCUCGAGUGGCGAACGGGUGAGUAACACGUGAGUAACCUGCCCUUGACUUUGGGAUAACUUCAGGAAACUGGGGCUAAUACCGGAUAGGAGCUCCUGCUGCAUGGUGGGGGUUAGAAAGUUUCGGCGGUUGGGGAUGGACUCGCGGCUUAUCAGCUUGUUGGUGGGGUAGUGGCUUACCAAGGCUUUGACGGGUAGCCGGCCUGAGAGGGUGACCAGCCACAUUGGGACUGAGAUACGGCCCAGACUCCUACGGGAGGCAGCAGUGGGGAAUAUUGCACAAUGGGCGGAAGCCUGAUGCAGCAACGCCGCGUGCGGGAUGACGGCCUUCGGGUUGUAAACCGCUUUCGCCUGUGACGAAGCGUGAGUGACGGUAAUGGGUAAAGAAGCACCGGCUAACUACGUG